ncrna:unclassified sequences SAM-I/IV variant riboswitch
AAGGAACAUUAAGAGAGGUCCAAUAAUGGACCCGGCAACCUAGGACGGACACCCAAGGUGCUUCCCAGAAAUGGGGAUGUGGUACGAAAGUACAAGUAAUUGUCCACACG